rnacentral:rRNA from 1 species
GAUGAACGCUAGCGGCAGGCUUAACACAUGCAAGUCGAGGGGCAGCGAGGGUAGCAAUACCUGUCGGCGACCGGCGGAAGGGUGAGUAACGCGUGAGCAACAUACCCGUAUCAGUGGGAUAAUACAGGGAAACUUGUUCUAAUAUCGCAUAAUAUUAUUCAGAGGCAUCUUUGGAUAAUUAAAGUUACGGCGGAUACGGAAUGGCUCGCGUGACAUUAGCUAGAUGGUAGGGUAAUGGCCUACCAUGGCGAUGAUGUCUAGGGGUUCUGAGAGGGAGGUCCCCCACACUGGAACUGAGACACGGUCCAGACUCCUACGGGAGGCAGCAGUGAGGAAUAUUGGACAAUGGAUGGAAAUCUGAUCCAGCCAUGCCGCGUGCAGGAAGGCGGCCCUAUGGGUUGUAAACUGCUUUUGUACGGGAGCAAUAAGGUCUACGAGUAGAUUGAUGAGAGUACUGUACGAAUAAGCAUCGGCUAACUCCG